AACUAAACCAAAAUCGAGACAAUGCUCCGAAGAAAUAGACGCCUCCUGCCAUGUGUUCGAUCCUGGACACGACAGCAUCGGCAUCAGCAUCAAUCACAAUC
rnacentral:ribozyme from 1 species